UUGACCUCAAAUCAGGUGGGACUACCCGCUGAACUUAAGCAUAUCAAUAAGCGGAGGAAAAGAAACUAACAAGGAUUCCCCUAGUAACUGCGAGUGAAGCGGGAAAAGCUCAAAUUUAAAAUCUGGCGACUUUGUCGUCCGAGUUGUAAUUUAGAGAAGCGUUUUCCGCGUCGGACCGUGUACAAGUCUCCUGGAACGGAGCGUCAUAGAGGGUGAGAAUCCCGUCUUUGACACGGACCCCGGUGCUCUGUGAUACGCUCUCGAAGAGUCGAGUUGUUUGGGAAUGCAGCUCAAAAUGGGUGGUGAACUCCAUCUAAAGCUAAAUAUUGGCGAGAGACCGAUAGCGAACAAGUACCGUGAGGGAAAGAUGAAAAGCACUUUGGAAAGAGAGUGAAACAGUACGUGAAAUUGCUGAAAGGGAAACGCUUGAAGUCAGUCGCGUCUGCCGGGAUUCAGCCUUAUGGUGUACUUUCCGGUGGACGGGCCAGCAUCACUUUUGAUCGCCGGAAAAGGGCAGGGGGAAUGUGGCACCUCCGGGUGUGUUAUAGCCCUCUGUCGUAUACGGUGGUCGGGAGUGAGGACCGCCUUUGUAGGAUGCUGGCGUAAUGGCUUUAAACGACCCGUCUUGAAACACGGACCAAGGAGUCUAACAUGCCCGCGAGUGUUCGGGCGGAAAACCCGUGCGCGUAAUGAAAGUGAAAGUUGGGAAGGC
rnacentral:rRNA from 1 species